GUGUGCUCUUUCGAGCUGAGGGGGGGAGGGAGUGGAGUGGAUAACGGAGAGAGGAGAAAUGAAAAGAUGUAAGAAGACAUCUUGGGACAGUAUGAUCACGCGAACCUCGAAGACGAACGAAAUUACAAGGAAACUUGGUGCAUACGGGUUACUUCAGUAUGCGGCCGGCGACGUACAAGUUUAGGUGAGAAUAUCGACGAAUGGAUAACCGCGUGGUCAGUGCGAUGACCGAAGAUCUAUUUGCAAGAUGGAUGCUAUUUCGGGAGGAAAACUCGAAACAAGUGUAUGUACGUGCGCAACGAGGGCAUGGAUGACGUCGGGUGACGUUGCUGCAAAUGCGGACGACCUUGAAGAAACAUUCGCGCAACCACGUAUGCAACCUCGCUUGCCUCCCACACUUGUGUCUCGAAGAAAGAUCUUUCGCAAGCGGCGUACACCGCGUCUAGGUGUAUCGACGGACGAGUCAAGCCGCAUUCUUCGCGUUACCCCUAGCCU